GACGAACGCUGGCGGCGUGCUUAACACAUGCAAGUCGAACGGAAAGGCCCUGCUUUUGUGGAGUGCUCGAGUGGCGAACGGGUGAGUAACACGUGAGUAACCUGCCCUUGACUUUGGGAUAACUUCAGGAAACUGGGGCUAAUACCGGAUAGGAGCUCCUGCUGCAUGGUGGGGGUUGGAAAGUUUCGGUGGUUGGGGAUGGACUCGCGGCUUAUCAGCUUGUUGGUGGGGUAGUGGCUUACCAAGGCUUUGACGGGUAGCCGGCCUGAGAGGGUGACCGGCCACAUUGGGACUGAGAUACGGCCCAGACUCCUACGGGAGGCAGCAGUGGGGAAUAUUGCACAAUGGGCGGAAGCCUGAUGCAGCAACGCCGCGUGCGGGAUGACGGCCUUCGGGUUGUAAACCGCUUUCGCCUGUGACGAAGCGUGAGUGACGGUAAUGGGUAAAGAAGCACCGGCUAACUACGUG
rnacentral:rRNA from 1 species